UACGUAGGGGGCAAGCGUUGUCCGGAAUCAUUGGGCGUAAAGAGCGUGUAGGCGGUCCGGUAAGUCGGCUGUGAAAGUCCAGGGCUCAACCCUGGGAUGCCGGUCGAUACUGCCGGACUAGAGUUCGGAAGAGGCGAGUGGAAUUCCCGGUGUAGCGGUGAAAUGCGUAGAUAUCGAGAGGAACACCUGAGGUGAAGACGGGUUGCUGGGCCGACACUGACGCUGAGUGCGCGAAAGCCAGGGGAGCAAACGGG
rnacentral:rRNA from 1 species